rnacentral:rRNA from 1 species
UGGGGAAUUUUGGACAAUGGGGGAAACCCUGAUCCAGCCAUCCCGCGUGUGCGAUGAAGGCCUUCGGGUUGUAAAGCACUUUUGGCAGGAAAGAAACGUCGCGGGUUAAUACCCCGCGAAACUGACGGUACCUGCAGAAUAAGCACCGGCUAACUACGUGCCAGCAGCCGCGGUAAUACGUAGGGUGCAAGCGUUAAUCGGAAUUACUGGGCGUAAAGCGUGCGCAGGCGGUUCGGAAAGAAAGAUGUGAAAUCCCAGAGCUUAACUUUGGAACUGCAUUUUUAACUACCGGGCUAGAGUGUGUCAGAGGGAGGUGGAAUUCCGCGUGUAGCAGUGAAAUGCGUAGAUAUGCGGAGGAACACCGAUGGCGAAGGCAGCCUCCUGGGAUAACACUGACGCUCAUGCACGAAAGCGUGGGGAGCAAACAGGAUUAGAUACCCUGGUAGUCCACGCCCUAAACGAUGUCAACUAGCUGUUGGGGCCUUCGGGCCUUGGUAGCGCAGCUAACGCGUGAAGUUGACCGCCUGGGGAGUACGGUCGCAAGAUUAAAACUCAAAGGAAUUGACGGGGUCGAU